AUGUGGGAUUCCCAUAACAUGAUGUGCGCUGCUGAUCCCAGGCAUGGUUGGUGCCUCACUGCCUCAGACAUGUUCGGGUGCAAGAUGAGCACUAAAGAGGUGGACGAACAAAUGAUCAAUGUUUAGUACAAGAACUCUUCCUACUUUGUUGAGUGGAUACCAAACAAUGUGAAAUCAAGCGUUUGUGACAUUCCGCCAGAGGGCUAUCCAGGGCAUCCACAUUCAUCGUUUCCAAGAAAUGUUUAGGUGUGUGAGCGAAUAAUUUACUGCCAUGUGCAGGAGGAAGGCCAUCUUGCACUAAUAUACUGGCAAAGGAAUGGACGAAAUGGAAUUUACUGAAGCAGAGAUCAACAUGAAUGAUCUCGUCUCUAAGCAUCAGCAAUACCAGGAUGCGACCGUCGACGGGGAAAGUGAAUACAAGGACGAGGAGGAAGUGAUAAAGGAUAUGUGA
rnacentral:lncRNA from 1 species